rnacentral:rRNA from 1 species
AAUCUUACGCAAUGGACGACAGUCUGACGGAGCAACGCCGCGUGAGUGAUGAAGGCUUUCGGGUCGUAACACUCUGUUGUUAGGGAAGAACAAGUACACGAGUAACUGCUUGUACCUUGACGGUACCUCACCUGUAAGCCACGGCUAACUACGUGGCUCCGACCGCGGUAAUACCUACGUGGCAAGCCUUAUCCGGAAUUAUUGGGCGUAAAGCGCGCGCAGGCGGUUUCUUAAGUCUGAUAUGAAAGCCCACGGCUCAACCGUGGAGGGUCAUUGGAAAAUGGGGAACUUGAGGGCAGAAGAGAAAAGCGAAGUUCCACGUGUAGCGGUGAAAUGCGUAGAGAUGGGGAGGAACACCAGUGGCGAAGGCGGCUUUUUGGACUGUAACUGACGCUGAAGCGCGAAAGCGUGGGGAGCAAACAGG